GAGUUUGAUCGUGGCUCAGAUUGAACGCUGGCGGCAUGCCUUACACAUGCAAGUCGAACGGCAGCAUGAUCUAGCUUGCUAGAUUGAUGGCGAGUGGCGAACGGGUGAGUAAUACAUCGGAACGUGCCCUGUAGUGGGGAUAACUAGUCGAAAGAUUAGCUAAUACCGCAUACGACCUGAGGGUGAAAGUGGGGACCGCAAGGCCUCAUGCUAUAGGAGCGGCCGAUGUCUGAUUAGCUAG
rnacentral:rRNA from 1 species